rnacentral:rRNA from 1 species
UACGUAGGGUGCAAGCGUUGUCCGGAAUUAUUGGGCGUAAAGAGCUCGUAGGCGGUUUGUCGCGUCUGCUGUGAAAACGCGAGGCUCAACCUCGCGCCUGCAGUGGGUACGGGCAGACUAGAGUGCGGUAGGGGAGAUUGGAAUUCCUGGUGUAGCGGUGGAAUGCGCAGAUAUCAGGAGGAACACCGAUGGCGAAGACAGAUCUCUGGGCCGUAACUGACGCUGAGGAGCGAAAGCGUGGGGAGCGAACAGG